rnacentral:rRNA from 1 species
UACGUAGGGAGCAAGCGUUGUCCGGAAUCAUUGGGCGUAAAGCGCGCGUAGGUGGCUUCGUAAGUCCGUUGUGAAAGUCAAAGGCUCAACCUUUGAAUGCCGAUGGAUACUGCGGAGCUAGAGUACGGAAGAGGCAAGUGGAAUUCCUGGUGUAGCGGUGGAAUGCGUAGAGAUGUGGAGGAACACCAGUGGCGAAGGCGACUCUUUGGCCUGUAACUGACACUGAGGCGCGAAAGCGUGGGGAGCAAACAGG